AUCUUCAGGGCGGGGUGCGAUUCCCCACCGGCGGUAAAGCCCGCGAGCCGAAAGGCAUGAUUCGGUGAAAUUCCGAGGCCGACAGUAUAGUCUGGAUGAAAGAAGAU
rnacentral:ncRNA from 1 species